rnacentral:rRNA from 1 species
GAUCCUGGCUCAGGAUGAACGCUGGCGGCGUGCCUAAUACAUGCAAGUCGAACGCGAGCACUUGUGCUCGAGUGGCGAACGGGUGAGUAAUACAUAAGUAACCUGCCCUAGACAAGGGGAUAACUAUUGGAAACGAUAGCCAAGACCGCAUAGGUACGGACACUGCAUGGUGACCGUAUUAAAAGUGCCUCAAAGCACUGGUAGAGGAUGGACUUAUGGCGCAUUAGCUGGUUGG